AUUGAACGCUGGCGGCAGGCCUAACACAUGCCAGUCGAGCGGAUGAAGGGAGCUUGCUCCUGGAUUCAGCGGCGGACGGGUGAGUAAUGCCUAGGAAUCUGCCUGGUAGUUGGGGAUAACGUCCGGAAACGGGCGCUAAUACCGCAUCCGUCCUGAGGGAGAAAGUGGGGGAUCUUCGGACCUCACGCUAUCAGAUGAGCCUAGGUCGGAUUAGCUAGUUGGUGGGGUAAAGGCCUACCAAGGCGACGAUCCGUAACUGGUCUGAGAGGAUGAUCAGUCACACUGGAACUGAGACACGGUCCAGACUCCUACGGGAGGCAGCAGUGGGGAAUAUUGGACAAUGGGCGAAAGCCUGAUCCAGCCAUGCCGCGUGUGUGAAGAAGGUCUUCGGAUUGUAAAGCACUUUAAGUUGGGAGGAAGGGCAGUAAGUUAAUACCUGGCUGUUUUGACGGUACCAACAGAAUAAGCACCGGCUAACUUCGUG
rnacentral:rRNA from 1 species